GCUGAAACUCGCCUACAUGAAGCUGGAGUUACUAGUAAUCGCAGAUCAGAAUGCUGCGGUGAAUGCGUUCCCGGGUCUUGUACACACCGCCCGUCACACCACGGGAGUUGGAGACGCCCGAAGCCGAUUAUCUAACCUUUUGGAAGAAGUCGUCGAAGGGGGAAUCAAUAACUGGGGUGAAGUCGUAACAAGGUAGCCGUAUCGGAAGGUGCGGCUGGAUCACCUCCUUUCUAAGGAGA
rnacentral:rRNA from 1 species